UACAGAGGGGGCAAGCGUUAUUCGGAAUUAUUGGGCGUAAAGCGCGCGUAGGCGGACCUGCAAGUCGGGGGUGAAAGCCCGAGGCUCAACCUCGGAACUGCCUUCGAUACUGCGGGUCUCGAGUCCGGGAGAGGUGAGUGGAAUUCCUAGUGUAGAGGUGAAAUUCGUAGAUAUUAGGAAGAACACCAGUGGCGAAGGCGGCUCACUGGCCCGGUACUGACGCUGAGGCGCGAAAGCGUGGGGAGCAAACAGG
rnacentral:rRNA from 1 species